rnacentral:lncRNA from 1 species
UCGGCCCCAGAGACCAUCCUUUAAUAUACAUGCAGCUGCAUGGGCACAUCUUGGGCUGCGCUGGAGGUUUGGGAGCGCGGGGAGCAGGGCUGUCCCCUCUCUGCAGAGCUGGGAGGGGAUGGUGGAUGGUGGCCUCUCCAAGAGCACAUCUUGUGUGGGUGAGACUCUCACUGUCCCGUGGGGGACUUGGCGGCGUCGAACAUCUUCUUCCGCCCCUCCAUCCCCGACAUGGCCUCCACGUUCUUGCGCCAAUCACCCACCUCCACCGGGCGCUCCUUCUCCGUGUCCUCCUUCUUGACAGACUUCAGGUUGGCUCUCAGGUCCAUGGACACCUUGUGCUUGGAGCCCAGCAGAGCCCUCAGCAUGGCGUCGGCGGAGACGCGGACCCUCCGCAGCGGGGGCCUCUUGAACUUCCCUCUCAGGUCGAGCACUUUGAGCUUCAGGUCUUUAAUCUCCCUGGUGUUAUGGUUGCACUUUGCUUCGAUGUCAUAUCUCUCUUCGUCCACAAUCUCAACCUUCUCAUGCAGCUCCCGGCACAGAUCCUGGAGUUGGCUCAAGGAGAGCCCGCUGGUGUGCAGGGGGGUGAUGCGCUCAGACAGGUAUCUCUCCUUCUCCGACUGUUUGUCCACGAUCUCCUGCUCCCACUCCUCCUUGGCCUUUGCCAGCAUCAAGCUCUUCAACAGGAGCUUGCGCGAGGCUGUGAUCUUGGAUUUUCUCUCCCUGGGCUCCGGCAUUGCGGCACUGGGCUGAUCUCCUGGGAGCUGCUGCCUGGUGUGUGCAGAGCCGAGCACUGCGGGGCCCGGCGGCGGAGGGGGAGU